AGCUUGCUCCCGGAUGUUAGCGGCGGACGGGUGAGUAACACGUGGGUAACCUGCCUGUAAGACUGGGAUAACUCCGGGAAACCGGAGCUAAUACCGGAUAGUUCCUUGAACCGCAUGGUUCAAGGAUGAAAGACGGUUUCGGCUGUCACUUACAGAUGGACCCGCGGCGCAUUAGCUAGUUGGUGAGGUAACGGCUCACCAAGGCGACGAUGCGUAGCCGACCUGAGAGGGUGAUCGGCCACACUGGGACUGAGACACGGCCCAGACUCCUACGGGAGGCAGCAGUAGGGAAUCUUCCGCAAUGGACGAAAGUCUGACGGAGCAACGCCGCGUGAGUGAUGAAGGUUUUCGGAUCGUAAAGCUCUGUUGUUAGGGAAGAACAAGUGCAAGAGUAACUGCUUGCACCUUGACGGUACCUAACCAGAAAGCCACGGCUAACUACGUGCCAGCAGCCGCGGUAAUACGUAGGUGGCAAGCGUUGUCCGGAAUUAUUGGGCGUAAAGGGCUCGCAGGCGGUUUCUUAAGUCUGAUGUGAAAGCCCCCGGCUCAACCGGGGAGGGUCAUUGGAAACUGGGAAACUUGAGUGCAGAAGAGGAGAGUGGAAUUCCACGUGUAGCGGUGAAAUGCGUAGAGAUGUGGAGGAACACCAGUGGCGAAGGCGACUCUCUGGUCUGUAACUGACGCUGAGGAGCGAAAGCGUGGGGAGCGAACAGGAUUAGAUACCCUGGUAGUCCACGCCGUAAACGAUGAGUGCUAAGUGUUAGGGGGUUUCCGCCCCUUAGUGCUGCAGCUAACGCAUUAAGCACUCCGCCUGGGGAGUACGGUCGCAAGACUGAAACUCAAAGGAAUUGACGGGGGCCCGCACAAGCGGUGGAGCAUGUGGUUUAAUUCGAAGCAACGCGAAGAACCUUACCAGGUCUUGACAUCCUCUGACAACCCUAGAGAUAGGGCUUUCCCUUCGGGGACAGAGUGACAGGUGGUGCAUGGUUGUCGUCAGCUCGUGUCGUGAGAUGUUGGGUUAAGUCCCGCAACGAGCGCAACCCUUGAUCUUAGUUGCCAGCAUUUAGUUGGGCACUCUAAGGUGACUGCCGGUGACAAACCGGAGGAAGGUGGGGAUGACGUCAAAUCAUCA
rnacentral:rRNA from 1 species